UGAGGAAUAUUGGUCAAUGGGCGAGAGCCUGAACCAGCCAAGUCGCGUGAGGGAAGACUGCCCUAUGGGUUGUAAACCUCCUUUGUAGGGGAAGAACCGACAUUACGUGUAAUGUUUUGCCAGUACCUUACGAAUAAGCAUCGGCUAACUCCGUGCCAGCAGCCGCGGUAAUACGGAGGAUGCGAGCGUUAUCCGGAUUUACUGGGUGUAAAGGGAGCGUAGGCGGGAAGGUAAGUUGGGUGUGAAAACUAUUGGCUCAACCAAUAGAUUGCACUCAAAACUACUUUUCUUGAGUGAAGUAGAGGCAGGCGGAAUUCCUAGUGUAGCGGUGAAAUGCGUAGAUAUUAGGAGGAACACCGGUGGCGAAGGCGGCUACCUGGCCAUGUAUUGACGCUCAGGUGCGAAAGCGUGGGGAGCAAACA
rnacentral:rRNA from 1 species